rnacentral:lncRNA from 1 species
GGACGCGGCUCUCACCAGCCCAUCCAUGAAUCAGGACGUGGCCGUCUCCAGCCCAUCCACAAAUCAGGAUGCAGCCCUCACCAGACACUGAAACUACUUCUCCUUGAACUUGCACUUUCCAGCCUCCAGAACGGGGAGGAAGAACUGUCUGCUGUUUGUAAGCCACCCAGGCCGCAGUAUUCUGUGAUAGCAGCAGGAAUGAAUGGAUUGAGCCAGUGGCAUUGGCACAGUGGAAUGCUGUGGGGUUUUACUAGAAACAGAAAGAAGAGGGACGGGCCUGGACACGCAGACCUGCCAAGACGCUCACAUACUGAACCGUGAGAGGAGGCACGUCUGCUGCUUCAAGCCACUAAACUGGGGUAACUUGUUAUGGCGGUGACUGGAAACUGAGACAGGCCUCCUGGAGUGCGGAGCUAGACUUUCGGCCAGACCAACAGGUCCCUCUCAGGGGAUUUCAAUACUCGUGGAACCUGCCUUCCUUCAGGAGUUCUUACACCCGCGCCUGGGCUUGUUUAUUCCCUCAACAAACGCCUGCUAGGCGCGGACCCUGUGCUGGUGGGCAGGUGAUGGUGAGCGAGACCCACUCCAGGCUCCGGGACCUCAUGGAGUGGAGGAGCUGGGUAAACAGGAACCUCUGACAUCAGCAUCACUGUCCCCAUUUUGCAGAGGAGGAAGCCAGGACUCCAAGGGGCUGACUUCCCACAGCAAUGAGCUCUGAGCAGUGGAGCCAGGGUGCCUCCCAGCCCUGUGGCCAUAGGCCUGUCCCUCGUUCCCCAUGUGUAGGGGAGAUUGGCCAACGAUGAGCACUGAGGGUGCAGGGACAGCUCUAUGAGGGCUGCCCCAACUCUCCCUAUGCCUUUUCAAUGAUUAGACAAAUCCUUCCCGUGCUGUGACAGCUGCCUGUGGUGUUCAGUACAGUCACACGCCAUGCAGGCGUGCAGCCUGGGAGCAAGAGGCUUUGCCCUCUGCCCAGUGUACAGUGGCCAGACCAUCUAGGUGUGUAUAAGCACUCCAGGAUGUUCACACAAACAUGCGUUAACAUCGCGUUUCUCAGAAUGUAUCCCAUCAUUAAUACGUCUGUAACUGUACGUGUGUAUGCGUGUACUUGCUUAUACAUGAUGUUUGCAGAUGUUAUACAUAAAAUGUCAUAUCUGACACAUUAGAUCCUAUAUUACACACAUGCAUGCGUGUACUUUGUUACACAUGACGUUUGCAGAUGUUAUACAUACAUAAAAUGUCAUAAGAAAUCUAUUAGAUUCUGUAUUACACACGUGCACAUGAUAAACUCUAUAUAUUCCACGUAGCGCACCAUGCACACAUGUGGUGAGUGUCAAUUUUGUGCCAGCUUGACUGGGCUGGUAAAGUAUUUCUGGGGGGGUGUGUGUGAGAGCGCUUCUAGAAGAGUUUAGCAUUUGAAUCCAUAGUAUUAAAGAAGGCUGCCCUCAUCAGCACCAGGGUAGGCAGCG